UGGAUUUGGCCUUACAGCAAAAUGUCAUUUAGUUCUGGUUCCCUUGCCAUAAACUGCCCUGGUGUUCCAGAUUGCCUGUGCUGUGCUGACCUGGAAUAGAGCGACAGCCUUGUAAGGCUGGAGCUCGUUCCUUAUCUGGAGAAUAAAUCUCCUGGUGAAGGGGAGAGCUGUGGUGUUUCUGUGUAAACACUCUGAAGGGCAGCAGGCUUAGGAGAGGGAGGGCUUUUCCCUCAGUGCACCAGCAGCUCUGCCAAGCAUUUAAACUGCACUGGCGCUUCCUGCUUACCCAGGUGUGAGGCUGCACCUGCUCAGGAGGCCUUAUUCCUUCCCCUCCAACCUGACUGACACGAAUUAACCCUUUCAGAGAAGGAGUUUGGUUGUUAAGGUUCCACUUCCUUUAAAAGUUUGGAUCAUACAGUGACACUGUGAUACCAGUUCUCUGUCCUAGAGAGUUCAAAACAUUAACAUUUGAAAUGUCCCUGGCGGAGGUUCUUCAGUGCUCUUCUUUGCUCCUUGUCUUUUGUCAUUCCAUGUUCCUGGGGAUGUCAUCCCAGCUGUGAAACUUGCAUGUGUAGCAACCUCCAGGACCUUGCUGUUUUCUCUCUCUGGAGAGAGAAGGGAAAAAUUGAUCCACAUAACUUCAUGCUGACUUAGUGUGUGCAGCUUUACCUAAAAUGGAGAACUUGCAGCAAGCUCUGACUUUCAUUGGUAAGGGCUAAUGAAGCCUCCAGCUCUUAGUGAGUUGUUGUUCCCCCUGCCCUAAAUGAUGGUUUAGCACGGAGCAGGCGUGCUCCCGUACUAUUUAAAUCCCACACAUUUCUGCAGAGACUUCAUCUCCAUUAUUUGAGGACAAGUGCCUCCACAUGGUUCACAUCUCCACUUCCAGAGAAACAGUGGAGUCUGUUAUAUCACCUGGCACUGAUUCAUAUACCAGCAAUGGAAAUGAUGUUGGCUUGGAAAUUUUCUCCCAGGGAUGGCUCUGGACUACUUUCUGUUGACUCACAGGGUUUCUGUUGCUCCAUGGAAUUGUUAAAAGUUGUGAGUUUCUAAUUUUAUGCUGGCAUGCUGAUGGGAUGAGACUCUGCCAGUUACAUGCAGUCCCAACUUUCCUUGAUGGGUGUCUACAGUCUCCUAAAAGAACACAGAAAACAAGACUACAGCUGUGCAGUGAUUAAAUUUGUUUCACAUUGUGUGCUUCCAGAUUCUUUUGCACAGUGUUUUGUUGGUGGUUACCCUCUUCUGCCAGAGAUCCUCUAAUGAUGAAAAGACUUCUGGUUUUGAAAGGGCUCUAGAAAUAGCCUUUAUUCUGCAUCUCUCUUUGUAAAGGAUGUGUGGAUGGGGUGCAAGAUGUGUAAGUUUGUAGUGCUUGAGGUGUCUGAAGAGAUGGUGAGGCCACAUGAAGUCAAGUAUCAUGCCAAUGGUGUUCAGCUGUUAGAUCCUGAGAGGGAGCAGCUUUCACAGCUGCAUGAGGAGGAGCAGUGCACAGAGCACUGUCACUGGUUCCAUACUGGAGAUGGGGUGGCUGUGUCUGCCCAGCUCCAGUGGGAGCUCUGCAAGAAGUUCCUGAGCACCAUCUGUAGCUGAAAGCCAGAUCCUGCUCUGUGUGAAUGGCUUUGGCAGGAUGGCCUGGGAGCAGGAAAGGGUCUGAGGAGCAUGGCAAAGCUUUGGAUGCUGCUGCUCACUGUCACUGCUGAACAGUAGCACUCCUCCCCUGUUGUGCUCAGUGCUUCCCUGAAGAAGCAUCUUCCAGCAGAAUUCUGGUCAUUAUGAUUCCCUUGUCAGCAAAUUCUGCCUAUUGUAGCAUUUUCCAGAAUAAGUUCAAUGUUGGGAAAACCUUCCUCAGACUUGAAAGGCUCUGAAGGAAAAAAAAGACCCCAACCAGACAAACCUUCUAUCCCAACCCCCAAACCAUAUCUGGGGGCCAACAAGGCCAAGUUUAAAGCACCAGGGAGUUGAAGCAUCUCUGAAAGACACAUCUCUCACCUACCACCAGAAGCAGCUGUGACUUUGCUCAGCUGUGGAGUGCUGCUCUGGUAGGAAUGGAAAGUUUCUGUAGUAGUUUCUGUGAGAGUAAUUAUUUGUUGGGCUUGGUGUAUGUCAAUAUUUACUAUCAGUGAGCUCAUAGCUUACAUGUGAAGUUUUUUUGAGCUAGUGGCCAGCAUGACUUGGGGCAGAACUUGAGGGAUGGUGGUGGUGGGAGGGCAAGGCGUGGCUUUAUCUGAAGUGUGCACUGGGGAGUAGUGAGAGAUGAAAGACACCAGGCUGUGCUUCUUCCCAAACCACUUCAGCUGAAUGGAACCAAACACAUCCAUAGCCAUGAGGGAAAAUGCCACAUACAUGCUUCCUUUGUAGACAGAUUGCUCUUCUGGCUCCUGUGGCCAUUUGGAUGCACUAAAGGCCCUGAAUUUCUCAUCUGGCUGCACUUCUCAUCAGUGCAUCUCACACUGAGGCUUGUGCUUUCAUCCUUGGGAGGCUGAAGUGGUGUGUGGCUGCACACUGCAGUUCCCUUCCUUGCAGUCAAACCAAAUCCAUUCCCACACCAUGGCACAGGUACCUUCCCCUUCCUGCUCUGGAGAUAUGGCACAUGGAGUGUGUGUUUCCAGUGCUCUGACUUCCAACCUGGCCUGUAUUUUGGGGCAGCUACCAGGCUCUCUUCCAUCCCCCUUUCUUAGAAAGUGCUCACUGAGCCACUCUGUCUGGAACGGAUCUGUUUUGUAUAAGAGCUUUUAGUUUUAUUGUGGGUUUUUUGUUUGCUUGUUUUACUCUUAAAUCACCUUGAUUUAUAUUAAAUCUUUUUACACUAAGCUUGAUCAGGACAUUUCCAUUGCCCCAGACAGCAGCUGAUCUCUGAAAACUGUGACUGAUCCUUUAAGCAAAGCUGGAAAAGUUUUGCUGAAGAUCUCUCUGCAAAAGAAGUCAUUGAAAAAGAGGAUCAAGAGGAAAGAAGUUUGCAGGAACUGACUGCUGGCCAAAGGUUUUAUAGCUUUUGUAGCCCAAGAAUAUAUGAAGUAGAUUCUUCUCAAGUGACCAUAUUUCAUCACCUUUCUUAAGCAUAUGUCACAUAAUUAAGUACAAUAUCUUAGUCUUCCUCUGAAUGUCAGGGCAUUCUGACAUUUGUACAUGAAAUUUGCUGUUAAUUUCUUUAAGGGAACUUCUGCAAAUCUCUUACUUCAUCCAAGUGUAUCAAAUGUAUGUUUAUGUCCAGUUUAUAAUUUAUUUUGGACCUGUAAUUUUAACACCUUUUGGGUAUAACUGCUGUGGUUACAAACCCUGAUAGUUUGGGAGCUGUGUGGUGAUAAAAGGAUUACGUGGCAAGGAAAAUGCUUAAAGAAAGAAGGAAAGCAAAUGCUUGGGUGGGAGGAUAGGAGGGGAUGAUGGACUGAGUGGGGCUGCUCCUGUGAUCCAAGACUUGCAGUUCCUGAUAGUUUCUUUAAUGCCUUUGCUUGAAAUCUCUCCUUUAUAUGAAAUCAGCUUGAGCCAGAGUUCUCUUCAGCUGUAGCUGUGAAAGUUCCUGUGAAAUCAUGAAAAAGCAGCAAUGGAUGGGUGACAGUGUGCAUUAAACCAACGACUCCUACUGGAAUGACCUGGGAAGCUGAGAGCCAGUCUGGUUUGGGCAAUGCUGGUGUCAGAGGAGGGCUUUCAGCUUUUCUGGGUGUGCUCAGUUUCUUGCUUGCAGGUGUGAAACUUCCUGUGGUAAACCCUGACCUCAUAGACCUUGCUUUAUGUUUGGAGCUGGAAAAAAUGAAGCUUCAUGUGACUGUUUUCAGUUCAGACUAUUCAAAUCCAGUAUCUAUUUUUAAAUAAGGCUGUAUAUACUGUAUUUUUGGCCACAGAUUCACUGUUAGUGUUGAUGAUUUCUGCUUUUUUGCCGAGUUGCUGCGCUUUGUUUUUCACUUGCUUCUGGAACUUGUUUUCAUCUUGUACCUGACCUUUGUUUGUGUGGCACAUCUUGAUUCUGUUCUGAUACUCCAUGAUUUUUGUCUUAAGGCUCUAUUUUUAGAGCUUUGCCUCCAAGGACUCACUAGAAACUGUUGUGAAGGUGCCAUUUAACUCUGGAGUGUAAUGGAGUUGAGCUGAUUUGUGUUAAUUACCUUCAGAUAGUCCCCAUUGCUGUUGAUACCUUUAGGGCAGCCUUCCAGGAUCAAAAAGGGAGGGAAUUUUGUUCACACCUUGCAGUAAUGAAUUACAUCCUGAGACAAACUUAAUGCAAUGGUCUAGCAAGAUGUCUUCCAAGGAAUUCAUAGUUCCACUGUUCAGUUCCACAUUUCAUCAUCCAUCAGUCCCUG